UGGUGACCAAGACAAACCAUGGGCUCCUCAUUUCACAUGUGAGCACUGCAAGAAAACUCUUGAAGGUUGGUACAGGGGAGAGAAGAGAGCCAUGCAUUUUGCUGUCCCAAGAAUUUGGCGUGAACCGACUGAUCACUCAACAAAUUGCUACUUCUGCAUGGUGGACCCUUCCAAACGUCGCACUGGCAAAAAUGCAACGCCUGUAACGUAUCCUGACAUUCCUUCAUCUACUGCCCCAGUACCACACUGCCCUGAACUUCCUGUACCAACACCUCCAGACAGAGCAACACCACCUUCAGAAGAAAGCAGCAGGUCAGACACCCAGGAAGAUGUUGAAGAUCACGAUUUCUCUUCAUGUGCAGAUGAGGAGCGGAAGCCAUACUA